UGGCGGGGGUCGCUACCAGAGAACGUUAACUAAGCAAGCUUAAUUGUUUGCCUCCGCGCCAUGACUCAUAACUACGUUUGAGUGACGAGGCGGCGGACCAGAGAAAAGCACGUCACUUAACGGUGGACUACUGAUUUCGUCAGGCAGUAAAGGCCAGCGUUCACCCAGGCGCGAAGGCGACACGAUGAGCUCCAAAGAAAACAAGGUUAAGAAGGUGAGCCAGGACAAAAAACAAGCAAGAACGAGGGAAGACGGGAAGAAGCGAACAAAGUCAUCCAAACGUACAAAGUCAAAAGAUUCGUCAGUCUCGAAAGCAGCCAAGUCGG
rnacentral:lncRNA from 1 species